GAACGAACUAUACGCAGUCUUCACUUUCAGGUGACACGGCAAAGACAAGGCACAUUUCAACAUCGGAAAUUGGAGUUCAAACGGAAAUGUUGAUGGCAUAUCCUAGUACGUGGCGUUUCGAUUUACUUCCAGUUGAAGUACAGAACACAAUUCGUCGCUGGGAAUUAAAGAGAAGAGAAUUUUAACCUGUAGGCGAACGCCAAAUCCAAAAUAUAAGUAUGAUGAACUUACAUUGUGAACGUUAUCAUCAUCAAAAUUUUAUUGUUAAUAAUUAUUGGUACGAAUAAAAGUUUGUUAAGUCUCCAGUAUGGCGUGUAAAACGAAAGUUCGAUUUCGGGGUUUAUACUCAUAUAUUGUGAUGUUUGUUCAAUAUUUUGUUAUGUAUAUUCGAUAAUCUUGUCAUGCAUAUUCUAUAUCUUGUGAUGUGUGUUUGUUAAUUUUGUGAUGUAUAUGCAAUACUUACAUUUUAGGUAAUAUGACGCACCAGCGUUCUAUUAAAGUAAAGACAGUUUUCUUUGGUUGGAAAUAACAAAAGUAUCCAAUUAUGCAAAAUAUCAUACACUAUUUAAAAUCUGUCCUACAAGCAGAACUUUGGGGUUCAAAAUUCAAAAGUUUGGCACAUCUCUUUCUUUUCUCCUAUAAAGAUAUCAGCAAAAUUAAUGACCUUCAAAUAAUAAAGACAUUUAAUCACUCUAACGAUUUUGGCCCCACCCUGGCUCCAAAAUCCUACCCAGGGAUCAUGAAAUUUACCAUUUUGGCAAAGGGUUUCCUCAUCCAUUCAGUUUCAAUAACAGAUCAUUAGCAUUAAAUAAGUCGUCAGUCUUGCAUUAUUAUUGAAUGUACAUCACAAGAUAUUGAACAUCUUGGUUUCGUGGAGGCGGGUUGAUACGUUCUUCUCUGUUAAGCGUUAUAUAUAUAUAUAUAUAUA